rnacentral:rRNA from 1 species
CACCGUCGUAUGAUGCGAUGGGGGGACGGAUCGCGGAAGGUUGUCUGACUGUUGGAAUAGUCAGUUUCUGCUUCAUAGAAGGCGCUUAGGCAAAUCCGGGCGCGUAAUUCAAGGGAGUGGGACGAGGAACUUAGGUUCUGAAGCAAUCGGAAGUGGUUCCAAGAAAAGCCUCUAAGCUUCAGUCAUACGAGACCGUACCGCAAACCGACACAGGUGGGCGAGAUGAGUAUUCUAAGGCGCUUGAGAGAACUCGGGAGAAGGAAC